CGCGUAGGUGGCCGAUUAAGUCGGGGGUGAAAGCCUGUGGCUCAACCACAGAAUUGCCUUCGAUACUGGUUGGCUUGAGACCGGAAGAGGACAGCGGAACUGCGAGUGUAGAGGUGAAAUUCGUAGAUAUUCGGAAGAACACCAGUGGCGAAGGCGACACACUGGCUCAUUACUGACGCUGAGGCUCGAAAGCGUGGGGAGCAAACA
rnacentral:rRNA from 1 species